CAGGAGGCUGACCUCUGAGGAAAAGGAGGUGUAGCCUAGAAGAUGACACUGUUGGGUCUUCUGUGUCUGGUGACAGCCCUUCCUGGUAUCCUGUCCCAGGUACAGCUUCAGGAGUCAGGACCUGGCCUGGUGAAGCCCUCACAGUCACUGUCUCUCACCUGCUCUGUCACUGGUUACUCCAUCACCAGUGGUUACUGUUGGACCUGGAUCAGACAGUCCUCAGGGAAGAAGCUGGAGUGGAUGGGGUGCAUAGAUUAUGGUGGUAGCACCUAUUACAACCCAUCCCUGCAGAGCCGCAUCUCCAUCACCAGAGAAACAUCCAAGAACCAGUUCUCCCUGCAGCUGAACUCUGUGACCACUGAGGACACAGCCACAUAUUACUGUGCAAGAGACACAGUGAGGAGACUUCAGCAUGAGCCCAGACACAAACCUCCCUGA